GGUUUUGUGGUAUAAUGGUGAUUACGCGGGACUGCAGAUCCUGUAAUCUCGGUUCGAGUCUGAGCGAAGCCU
rnacentral:tRNA from 1 species